rnacentral:rRNA from 1 species
GUGGGGAAUAUUGGACAAUGGGGGGAACCCUGAUCCAGCCAUGCCGCGUGUGUGAAGAAGGCCUUUUGGUUGUAAAGCACUUUAAGCGAGGAGGAGGCUACCGAGAUUAAUACUCUUGGAUAGUGGACGUUACUCGCAGAAUAAGCACCGGCUAACUCUGUGCCAGCAGCCGCGGUAAUACAGAGGGUGCGAGCGUUAAUCGGAUUUACUGGGCGUAAAGCGUGCGUAGGCGGCUUUUUAAGUCGGAUGUGAAAUCCCCGAGCUUAACUUGGGAAUUGCAUUCGAGACUGGGAAGCUAGAGUAUGGGAGAGGAUGGUAGAAUGCCAGGUGUAGCGGUGAAAUGCGUAGAGAUCUGGAGGAAUACCGAUGGCGAAGGCAGCCAUCUGGCCUAAUACUGACGCUGAGGUACGAAAGCAUGGGGAGCAAACAGGAUUAGAAACCCGUGUAGUCC